rnacentral:tRNA from 1 species
GGAUCCUUAGCUCAGUUGGUUAGAGCGCCUCACUCUUAAUGAGGAUGUCGAUGGUUCGAGUCCAUCAGGGUCUA